GCGCCCCCCAGGCGCCCUCCCCGCCCCCCAGACCUUUUACUGGGUCACACCGGCAAAAUCCUUCUCUGUCCUAUAAGGUGACAUUCACGGAGUCGGGACGCGGCUCUCUUUGGGGGGCGGUAUUCAGCCUACCACGAAUGGCCACCAACCAUCCCUCGACUCUGUUUAUGCCCACGCCCCACGGAUCAAGAGGCAGCAUCCACUUGCGUUCCCCCGCGGCAAUCUUGUGACCGGCUUUGACCGACACAAUGUAGUCGAAAGUGACGCGAGCCACUGUGGUGGCUUCUACAGUGGCUCCCUUGCAACCUGGCCGCCGCCACGUCAGAGAGAGGUCGGUCUGGGCCACCCCGGGGAGGAGGGGGGCCGCUGGAAGAGAGACGGAGACCUUUGGAGACAGAGAGACGGGGAGAGACAGCAGCGCAGGGACACGAGGCCAAGGAAUCGUCAAGAAAGUCACGGGCUCCCGGCCGCAGGCCCGGCGAGGCUUUGAGCCACACGUGUCGGUUACCUCAGACGCCAGCCCCGCGGGGCCUGUAGAUAACUGGGACCCCAGCUGACACCCGGGCGCCGUCCGGGGACAGACCCCGAGCCAAGACCACCCAGGUCAAGCCACAGAGCCCACGAGAACUCACCCGUUGCUUCAAGCCACUGGCGAGCCCUCCCAAAGUCACAGGGUGCCUGUGUCACACUGUCCUCACCGGCUACGUGGAACCCAUAAGGAGCCCCCUUUGCAAGGUGCUCCUCUGGAAUUCAGGACUCCUGCUGAUGCGGGAACUGAGGCACCGAGAGAGGAAAUCUUUGCGCUCUUCCUGGCUUCCGUGACAGUUCAUGUAGAUCCCUCGCGAGCUGACUCCCGUGGGACUCGCAGCAUCAUCACGUCCCUCGUCACAUCCACGUCCCAAGCCCUGGAUGCGCCUCUCUUUGAAGCUGAUAUCUUAGCUUCCUGCCGCCAGGCUCGCCCAUUUCCUUGCCGGGCAGAAUUUCAAAGUUUUAUGGCAACUUGUACAGAAAUCACAGAGAAGAGACAACGACCGG